rnacentral:rRNA from 1 species
GACGAACGCUGGCGGCGUGCUUAACACAUGCAAGUCGAACGGAAAGGCCCUGCUUUUGUGGGGUGCUCGAGUGGCGAACGGGUGCGUAACACGUGAGUAACCUGCCCUUGACUUUGGGAUAACUUCAGGAAACUGGGCCUAAUACCGUAUAGGAGCUCCUGCUGCAGGGAGGGGGUUGGAAAGUUUCGGCGGUUGGGGAUGGACGCGCGGCUUAUCAGCUUGUUGGUGGGGGAGUGGCUUACCCAGGCUUUGGCGGGUAGCCGGCCUGGGAGGGUGACCGGCCACAUUGGGACUGCGGUACGGCCCAGUCUCCUACGGGGGGCAGCAGUGGGGAAUAUUGCCCAAUGGGCGGAAGCCUGAUGCAGCAACGCCGCGUGCGUGAUGCCGGCCUUCGGGUUGUAAACCGCUUUCGCCUGUGACGAAGCGUGAGUGACGGUAAUGGGUAAAGAAGCACCGGCUAACUACGUG